rnacentral:misc_RNA from 1 species
GAUGAAGAACGCAGCGAAAUGCGAUAAGUAGUGUGAAUUGCAGAAUUCAGUGAAUCAUCGAAUCUUUGAACGCACAUUGCGCCUCCUGGUAUUCCGGGAGGCAUGCCUGUUCGAGCGUCAUUAAAAUCACUCAAGCUUAGGUUUACCUAUUGCUUGGUCUUGGAGAUGGAAGCCAAUUUAUUGGAAUCCUCUUCGAAAUUCAAUGGCGAAGACCCUUGCUCUCCCAAGUGUAGUAAUAACUUAUUUCACUGAAGGAAGCGAGAAAUCUUCUGCCGUAACCCCCAUAUUUUCUAUGAUUGACCUCGGAUCAGGUAGGGAUACCCGCUGAACUUAAGCAUAUCAAUAAGCGGAGGA